GAAAUACGAAUCCGAUCCGACAGAUUUCAAAAAUUUCUAUACAAAUCCGAAUCCGACCAAAAAUUUAAAAUCCAAGCCGAAAUAAUUAUUUUUCUUUUCAAUAUUUCAAAAUAGACUAUAUUAAAUCUAAAUUUUUAAGAUACAAAUUCAAAUAUAAUAUUAAAUUUUUAUAUACAUAUUAUAUAUAAUAUAAAAUAAAUUCAGGUUCGGGUUCAGAUGAGGUACCACCAAAAUUCAUAUCCGUCAGGCUUUUGUUUUUGAUAUUAAUAUUCGAAAUCAUAUCCGUUUAGUAUCAAAUAAAUUCGCCUCCUUCGAAUUCAGAUUUUGAUAAAAUUUUGAAUAUCUAUAUCCAUUUACAUCCCUAAAUGUGGGUUCGUGCGCGCAGUUGUUGGAUUGUUGACAUUCUUGCCCACCUCGAAUAAUAACCUAACUCAAUUAUUUAUUUCUUUUUUUUAUUAUUUUUAAAAUUUUUAAUUAAAAAUAAUUUUAUAAAGUAAGAUCAUAAAAAAUGAUCUUACUUUAU
rnacentral:lncRNA from 1 species